CACGUAGGGACCGAGCGUUGUCCGGAUUCAUUGGGCGUAAAGAGCUCGUAGGCGGUCGGGUAAGUCGGGUGUGAAAUCUCCGGGCUCAACUCGGAGGGGCCACCCGAUACUGCACGACUCGAGUCCGGUAGGGGAGUGGGGAAUUCCUGGUGUAGCGGUGAAAUGCGUAGAGAUCGGGAAGAACAUCGGUGGCGAAAGCGCUCUACUGGACCGCAACUGACACUCAGGGACGAAAGCUAGGGGAGCGAAUGGG
rnacentral:rRNA from 1 species